rnacentral:rRNA from 1 species
CCUACGGGAGGCAGCAGUGGGGAAUAUUGGGCAAUGGGCGCAAGCCUGACCCAGCAACGCCGCGUGAAGGAAGAAGGCUCUCGGGUUGUAAACUUCUUUUCUGAGGGACGAAGAAAGUGACGGUACCUCAGGAAUAAGCGACGGCUACCUACGUGCAAGCAGUCGCGGUAAGACGUAGGUGGCAAGCGUUAUCCGGAUUUACUGGGUGUAAAGGGGGCGUAGGGGGGUGGGGAAGUCAGAUGUGAAAUCUAUGGGCUUAACCCAUAGACUGCAUUUGAAACUGUACUUCUUGAGUGCAGGAGAGGCAAUCGGAAUUCCGUGUGUAGCGGUGAAAUGCGUAGAUAUACGGAAGAACGCCGAUGGCGAAGGCAGAUUGCUAGACAGUAACUGACGCUGAGGCGCGAAAGCGUGGGUAGCAAACAGGAUUAGAUACCCCUGUAGUC